AUGGUUUCGGUUUCCUCCUCUCCGCCUCGUCGGAUCGUCGUGCCUGCACCAACCUGCCCAGCUCCAUGGUUAUUUCCCUGGGAGGAUUUCCUGCUCUCACGCGGUCCUCAGUCUCCAGUUCAGCCGCGCGCUGCUCAGUCUCCAGUUCAGCCGCGCGCUGCUCAGUCUCCAGUUCAGCCGCGCGCUGCUCAGUCUCCAGUUCAGCCGCGCGCUGCUCAGUCUCCAGUUCAGCCGCGCGCUGCUCAGUCUCCAGUUCAGCCGCGCGCUGCUCAGUCUCCAGUUCAGCCGCGCGCUGCUCAGUCCCCAGCUCAGCCGCGCGCUGCUCAGUCUCCAGUUCAGCCGCGCGCUGCUCAGUCUCCAGUUCAGCCGCGCGCUGCUCAGUCUCCAGUUCAGUCGUGUUUUCCCCAGUCUCCAGCCCAAGCUCCAGACGCCGCGGUCCCAUUUCACCAUGCGGGUCCCGGUACAGAGGUCCGGUCCACACCGCUCCCAGCGCCCCAAACGACGGACAGUCGCAGCUGCUCCGGACGGCGCCGGCGGCGGCGCGGUUCCAGGAUUCCGGGUCCCGCGGUCUCGGUCAUGGGGACCGAGCAGUCUCCUUCUCCGACAGAGGAGCCCCUUGAUUCUCUGACUGACUGUGUCUCUCUGAUAGCAGGCAUCCCAGACAGCGUCGCCCGACGGGUCCACCUCCUCUGCUCUCCUCCGGUUGCGUUUCUCUUCGCCCACCUCAUGAACACCGCCGAUUCGGCAGCAGACCAGGGCACGAGAGAACAACUGUUCACGGAAGCAGCCGCUCUCGUCCUGAGGGAGCCUGUCCUGCGUGAGGCCCUGCAACUCCCGGGCCUGCAGCCAGCGGCCGCUUCAUGUCCCACCUCUCAGUCAGUUCAGCCUCGCCAUGCUCAUGCCCUGGUGCAGCCCUGUCGCCUCCAGGCCCCAGCCCAGUCGAACCUAGUCCAGACCCCAGAUCAGCCGUGUGUUGCCCAGACCCCAGAUCAGCCGUGUGUUGCCCAGACCCCAGUUCAGUCGUGUGUUGCCCAGACCCCAGUUCCGUCCUUGUCCCCGUCAGAGGGCACCGUCCGUCUGACGACUGUUAGCCCCACCCAAUCAGGCCCGGCGUCUCCCCCGUCGAGCUCGGCAGCUGUAAGCUGUCAUGCCAGCUCCGGAGGGGACGCCGUUCCAGUCCCGGUCGGCCAUGUUGCGGCCGUUCCAGUCCCGGUCGGCCAUGUUGCGGCCGUUCCAGCUCCUGUCGAUCCGUUAAAGGUCGUUCCUGUCCCCGUCGGCUCCAGUAAGGACGCCGUUCCAGUCCCUGUCGGCCAUGUUGCGGCCGUUCUAGUUCCUGUCGGCCAUGUUGAGGUCGUUCCAGUUCCUGUCGGCCAUGUUGAGGUCGUUCCAGUUCCUGUCGGCCAUGUUGAGGUCGUUCCAGUUCCUGUCGGCCAUGUUGAGGUCGUUCCAGUUCCUGUCGGCCAUGUUGAGGUCGUUCCAGUUCCUGUCGGCCAUGUUGAGGUCGUUCCAGUUCCUGUCGGCCAUGUUGAGGUCGUUCCAGUCCCUGUCGGCCAUGUUGAGGUCGUUCCAGUUCCUGUUCCUGUCGGCCAAGUUGAGGUCGUUCCAGUUCCUGUUCCUGUCGGCCAUGUUGAGGUCGUUCCAGUUCCUGUCCCUGUCGACCAAAUUGAGGUCGUUCCAGUUCCUGUCCCUGUCGGCCAUGUUGAGGUCGUUCCAGUUCCUGUCCCUGUCGGCCAUGUUGAGGUCGUUCCAGUUCCUGUUCCUGUCGGCCAAGUUGAGGUCGUUCCAGUUCCUGUUCCUGUCGACCAAAUUGAGGUCGUUCCAGUUCCUGUCCCUGUCGACCAAGUUGAGGGCGUUCCAGUUCCUGUCCCUGUCGACCAAGUUGAGGGCGUUCCCGUAGGCCAAGUUGAGGGCGUUCCCGUAGGCCAAGUUGAGGGCGUUCCCGUAGGCCAAGUUGAGGGCGUUCCCGUAGGCCAAGUUGAGGGCGUUCCCGUAGGCCAAGUUGAGGGCGUUCCCGUAGGCCAAGUAGAGGUCACCCCUGUCUCUGACCCCGUUCCUGUCGACCCUGUAGCGGUCGUUCCAGUCCCCGUUCCUGUCGGCCCUGUAGCGGUCGUUCCAGCCCCCGUCACCCUUGGAGCCGCUGCGCCCGCCGGCCUCCAGGAGGAGGCAGCACCUGCGGCAGUUCCUGCGCACCUCCAGGAGGGGGUCGCGCCAGUUGCAGUUCCUGCGCACCUCCAGGAGGGGGUCGCGCCAGUCGCAGUUCCUGCGCACCUCCAGGAGGAGGUCGCGCCAGUCGCAGUUCCUGCGCACCUCCAGGAGGAGGUCGCGCCAGUCGCAGUUCCUGCGCACCUCCAGGAGGAGGUCGCGCCAGCCGCAGUUCCUGGACCCCCAGGAGGGGGUCGCGCCCGUCGCUGUCCCGGCGGACCCCCAGGAGGGGGUCGCGCCCGUCGCAGUCCCGGCGGACCCCCAGGAGGGGGUCGCGCCCGUCGCAGUCCCGGCGGACCCCCAGGAGGGGGUCGCGCCCGUCGUAGUUCCUGUCGACCUCCAGGAGGGGGUCGCGCCCGUCGCAGCUCCGGCGGAUCUCCAGGAGGGGGUCGCGCCCGUCGUAGCUCCUGCCGACCUCCAGGAGGGGGUCGCGCCCGUCGUAGCUCCUGCCGACCUCCAGGAGGGGGUCGCUCCCGUCGUAGCUCCUGCCGACCUCCAGGAGGGGGUCGCUCCCGUCGUAGUUCCUGCCGACCUCCAGGAGGGGGUCGCUCCCGUCCCGGCUCCGGCCGCACCAGCAUCGGUUCCUGGCGGCCCGGCUCCGGCCGCACCUGCAUCGGUUCCUGGCGGUCCGGCUCCGGCCGCAUCUGCAUCGGUUCCUGGCGGUCCGGCGCUGACCGCAUCUGCUUCGGUUCCUGUCUCUCGUCGCGGAGGUCCAAGGAGGACGUCUCCACGUCUGUCUUCGCCUCUGGUUCCUGCCUCGUCUCUGUCUCGGCUGCCGGAUUGGUGGCCUCGCCCCCGGCGCCUCCUGCCGCGUGGAUGGCGCUGCCUCCUGCGGCGGCGCCCGCCUCGACUCCUCAACCCCUCGGAUCAGCGUCCGCCUGGAGGACGCUGCCAUGCGGGGUGGUCCCCGGGGACAUCGGCCCAGCUCAAGGGCACUAA
ensembl:lncRNA